GGAUCGUGCGAGUGAAGCGCGCUGCGUUAAAAUGGCGGCAGGUGUGUCCGGCCGAACUGCUGCGGAUCGAGUCUAUUACACUGGUGUAAAUCGCGUUUCAUCUCACGCACCUUUAGAUUGUGACACUUCUAAAGUUGUUUAAAAAAAUAGACAAAUACGACUGCAAUCAUGGCUACGGAUCCGUAAAGCAGGUUUGUUUAACCAGCUAUGCAAGCAAUCUUCCUUUGUCAAGCCAGCGUUUAGAUGAAUGAACACACUGUCCAGGUGUGGUGAAAUGUAUGAAUAAUAGUGUCUUGCUGGAAAGCUUAUGUUCUUGAAGUUCUUGGAGCAAGUUAUCUUGGCUUGGUGGGUUCCAAUGUGCAGCCUUCAGGUGGUUUGUUGUGACCAUCUCAGCCAAUUAGUAUCUUUGAAGUGUGCUGUAGGACCAUAUGUGCAGUUGGAUGUGUCGUUCAUGUUGUCAUCUCUGCAAGAGGAGCAGCGAUGGUUGCAUGCAACUUGGAUAGUUUUAAAAGAGUGUGUUGCUAUUCAAUGGCCCUUGGUUCAGAGUGACGUGCGAUAGUUGAGAUUGCUUUUGUAGACCUGCAGCUAUGUCCAUACGUGUCUCAUCUUUCGCGGCUGCAACAUUUACAUUUGACGAAUGCAAGAAAGCCGAGAAGUUAGCGAUUCUUUGGAAAAUAACCAACUACUCGUUGGCAAUAACUGUACAAUAUCGCGGGAUAUUUGUACUCAAUCGGAGCCUUGGAACUAUGGGCCAAAGAACCUAGCGAUGUUCAAGAUAAUGAUGACGUCACUGUCACUUAGCAGGAAACGAAGAAACUGGAUACGGCACGAGGUUGACCAACGGUUGAGAAAUGCAAAUUCCUUUGAUACCGCAAUUCUGUGAGUUUUCAUGUGAAAUGUACUACAACCAAUUUCUUCAGGCCCCACUCAGUUUACACCAUUGCAACUUCCAAAGCUCCCGAAGAACAAUUCAAGACAUCCAUCGAAGUAUCUCUUUGUCGACUGAAACAAGUUACCACAAUAAACAAGUAAAAUACAAGCAUUUUUUUGUCAAUUUAUUUGUUGUGAAUUGCAUUAAAAACUUCCACGGGAUGCUAGUCUAUCGCCAUGAAUUUACACCGCUGCGGAUGGACGCAUUUAGAAAUUUAUUUUGUUUUGGAAGGCAAAAGAAAUAACGAAAGUCCGGUUUAUUCUUGAAG